ACGUAGGGGGCGAGCGUUAUUCGGAAUUACUGGGUGUAAAGGGUAUGUAGGCGGCCCUUCAAGUCGCGUGUCAAAGUCCAGUGCUCAACGCUGGGUGUGCGCGCGAUACUGACGGGCUUGAGGGCUGGAGAGGUGAGCGGAAUUCCCGGUGGAGCGGUAAAAUGCGUAGAUAUCAGGAGGAACACCAGCGGCGAAGGCAGCUCACUGGACAGUUCCUGACGCUAAGAUGCGAAAGCGUGGGGAGCAAACAG
rnacentral:rRNA from 1 species